ACUUUGCAUAACUCCAGAUACACGUCAGGAGUAACGACAGACAGGAAGCUACGAAACCGCCAUUUUGUCUGUAGGCAUCAACGAAAAUGGGUUCACGCAUCUGCAUACGCAUAUCAUCAAGCUGUAACAGCAUUACGACUGGAUUUCCAUGGAUCCUGUAUGAAGAGUCCUGAUAUGACCUCUACCCCUGACCCGGAUGUAUGUUAUCCACGUUGGUGACACAUGUUGACAGCUAUCUCCAUAAAAUGCCCAACAUGCUGUGUUGAAACUUUUACAUUUUGCUACUCAGAUGUUGAUCUUGGUCAGUGGUUGUCGUUCGAACAAUUUUCUCAUCUGGAGCUCGUGGGUGAGAUCGAGGGGCCACCGCAGGACGAGACGGAGGUUAAGUUUAUGUUUCCAAAUAAUGCACUUUUGAUAAAAAAAAAUAUAAUAAAGAUAUCUGAACAGACUAUUUUCAAGAUAUUGCCACAAGAAGUUGGCUGGCUAAGUUUGCAAAUAUCAGAAAACGCUGUCUGUGUGCAUUUUAGUCAAUAUGAAUAUUCUAUGGAUAAAAGAUUUGUAUAGCAAUACCACAUGAAAAAACUCUAUUUCAAAUAAAUCAAAUAAUAACUUUCCCUUUAAAUAUAUCUGUGAUGCAUCGAGAAAAUAACGCCAAUAAUAUCAUAAAUACA